rnacentral:rRNA from 1 species
AGUGAACGCUGGCGGUAGGCCUAACACAUGCAAGUCGAACGGCAGCACAGUAAGAGCUUGCUCUUACGGGUGGCGAGUGGCGGACGGGUGAGGAAUACAUCGGAAUCUACUUUUUAGUGGGGGAUAACGUAGGGAAACUUACGCUAAUACCGCAUACGACCUACGGGUGAAAGCAGGGGAUCUUCGGACCUUGCGCGAUUGAAUGAGCCGAUGUCGGAUUAGCUAGUUGGCGGGGUAAAGGCCCACCAAGGCGACGAUCCGUGGCUGGUCUGAGAGGAUGAUCGGCCACACUGGAGCUGGGCCACGGUCCCGGCUCCUGCGGGAGGCAGCAGUGGGGUAUAUUGGACAGUGGGCGCAAGCCUGGUCCAGCCAUACCGCGUGGGUGGAGACGGCCUUCGGGUUGUAAAGCCCUUUUGUUGGGAAAGAACAGCAGCAGGUUGGUACCACGCUUUUGUGACGGUACCUGCAGAAUAAGCGCCGGCUAACUUCGUG